rnacentral:snoRNA from 1 species
GGUGGCAAGUGAUGUGAAUUUGAAAUCUUAUCCUACACACUGAACCAUGGUGUGGACUGAUAACUCCGCUUAUUAUCUGAUGCCACU